UGCAUUUUUAAUGUAUGCACUUCUAAUACGUGGAUUCUACAAUGAAAUAUACUGUAUUACAAUUAACAAGGUAAAACGGUGUUUGUCUUGUUUUACUAGAUAAACUCGACUCCUGUUAUCCCUGUGGAUUAAAUAAUCAAAAUUUCUAUUGGCAGAUUAAAUUCUCGAUUACUUUUUUCGCCGAAAUUGCCUAUCAUAAUUCCUCGAAUUUGACAAAUUCUACCGCAGAAGAUCGGCUAAAUCACACUUCUGCUUUCGUUGAUGCCGAAGCAGUGUGCUUCCCGAUUGAAUUUUUGUGUUGAAAUGGCAACAAACGGUCAUUCAGGCUACCCAUUGAAGUGGUUUAAAGAUCAGAAUGCUGCGAGACAUGCUUGGGAAUGUGCUGUUUGUUUGGAAGUUUUAAAAGAUCCCGUCCAAGUGCGAGACUGUGGGCAUCAAUUUUGUGCCCUCUGUAUUGACGAUAUUCUCAAG